GCCUACGGGGGGCUGCAGUGAGGAAUAUUGGUCAAUGGGCGCAAGCCUGAACCAGCCAUCCCGCGUGCAGGAAGACGGCGCUAUGCGUUGUAAACUGCUUUUCCAGGGGGAGAAACUUGCGCACGUGUUGCGCAAUUGACGGUACCCUGGGAAUAAGCAUCGGCUAACUCCGUGCCAGCAGCCGCGGUAAUACGGAGGAUGCGAGCGUUAUCCGGGUUCAUUGGGUUUAAAGGGUGCGUAGGCGGACUAUUAAGUCAGUGGUGAAAUCCUGCAGCUUAACUGCAGAACUGCCAUUGAUACUGAUAGCCUUUAGUUGGGUUAAGGUAGGCGGAAUGUGUAAUGUAGCGGUGAAAUGCUUAGAUAUUACACAGAACACCAAUUGCGUAGGCAGCUUACUGAGCCGACACUGACGCUGAGGCACGAAAGCGUGGGGAUCGAACAGGAUUAGAUACCCCUGUAGUCUA
rnacentral:rRNA from 1 species